rnacentral:rRNA from 1 species
CGGACGGGUGAGUAAUGUCGUGGGAAACUGCCUGAUGGAGGGGGAUAACUACUGGAAACGGUAGCUAAUACCGCAUAACGUCGCAAGACCAAAGAGGGGGACCUUCGGGCCUCUUGCCAUCGGAUGUGCCCAGAUGGGAUUAGCUAGUAGGUGGGGUAAAGGCUCACCUAGGCGACGAUCCCUAGCUGGUCUGAGAGGAUGACCAGCCACACUGGAACUGAGACACGGUCCAG